rnacentral:lncRNA from 1 species
AUGAGCCCAAAUCCAGAGGGAUGGAGCCAUUGGAUAAAGCCAUCGGUGUGGGAUGUGUCCCAGCUCCAGAGGGAUGGAUUCUCUGGGAUAAAGCUGUUGGUGUGGGAUGAGCCUCAAUCCAGAGGGGUGGAUCCUUUGGAUAAAGCCAUCAGUGUGGGAUGUGUCCCAGCUCCAGAGGGAUGGAGCCCUUGGAUAAAGGUGUUGGAGUGGGAUGCAUCCCAGCUCCGGAGGGAUGGAGCCACUGGCACCAGGUGCAAUCCCAGCUCCGGAUCUGCCCCAUCACAGCCACGUGCCGAUGUCCAGCACCUCCUCGAGGAGGUGUCAGGGCUGAUCCGCUGCCUUGGGGACCUUUGGGGUGACACUUUCCAGUGCCACCCGCCACUCUCAGACUCCAAACCUGCUGCAAUCCCUGAGGAUUCCCUUAGGAUGAACCUGACAAAGGGAAUGGAUCCCAAACACUUCCCCAGCCUGUGCCUCAGUUUCCCCACUGGCAAACCUGGCUUAGGCUGUGCCUGAACAAACACAAAUCCCUCUGCACCAGGGCUCAGCCGGGCCCAGCCCAGGCCCCUCCACGUUCCAGGUGAGAAAUCCCUGGAACACCCCACGCCUGUAGGGCCAGGAGAACACAAAGGGCUCCUGGUGCUGCUCCAGCAGCCCGGAGAGUGCCGGGCUCUGGUGGGAGCAAAUUAGAUCAGGAGAGCAGAGCGCUAAUGGGAUCAUUUCCAAUGCAAUACACACAGGGAUAAUCCGCAGCAAAGGAAGCCAGGCCCUCCCCAGCCCGAAGGCAGGAUUUGCUUUCCCCUGCCAUGAUUUUACUCCGUAUCUCUCUGCACAAUCUGUUUCUGCCCGGUGCAGGUGCAGCCUGGGGGGUUUGGGGAGUGCCUGGUGCUGAGGUGAGCUGGGUUUGAGUGUGGCUGCCACAGCUAAGCCGGCCUUGGCACGGCCACAGCAUCUUCAGUACCACCACAGCAUCCUUGGCACGGCCACAGCAUCUUCAGUACCACCACAGCAUCCUUGGCAUGGCCAAAGCAUCUUCAGUAUCACCACAGCAUCCUUGGCACGGCCACAGCAUCUUCAGUACCACCACAGCAUCCUUGGCAGGGUUACGGCAUCCUCAGCACCACCACAGCAUCCUGAGCACUACCACGGUGCCCUCAGCACGGCCACGGCAUCCUUGGUGCCAUCACAGCAUCCUCGGCACCACUACAGCAUCCUUGGUACCACCACAAUACCCUUGGUGCCACUACAGCGUCCCUGGUACAAUCACAGCAUCCUUGGGGCCACCACAGCACCCUCGGCAUGGCCAUGGCAUCCUCAGCAUCACCGCGGCAUCUUCGCCAUGGCCACGGCACCCUUGAUGCCACCACAGCAUCCUCAAUGCCACCACAGCAUCCUCAGCAUGGCCACAGCAUCUCUGGCAUGGCCAUGGCACCCCUGAUGCCACCACGGUACAUCUGAUGCCACCACAACACCCCUGAUGCCACCACGGCAUCCCUGAUGUCAUCACAGCACCCCU